rnacentral:ncRNA from 1 species
CUUAUUGAGAGUUUGAUUCUGGCUCAGGAUGAACGCUGGCGGCGUGUCUAAGGCAUGCAAGUCGAACGGUCGCACCUCACUAUCGUUCGGUGCUCCCUUAACUCAAAGCUCAAAUCUUAAAACGCAAAACUUUGGAGCUCGCUUCGCUCGCAGAUAAUAUAUAAAUUAUUAUCGUGAAGCGAUACAUUAGUUUUGACUUUUGACAUUUGACUUUUAAGUUGGAGCAACCGAGCGCUAGUGAGGUGCGACCGUGGCAAACGGGUGCGUAACACAUUGGUAACUUACCCCGAGGUCAGGGAUAAGCUUGCGAAAGCGAGUCUAAUACCUGAUGGUAGUGAGGGGACAUUAAGUCAUUCUCACUUAAAGGUGCAAAUCGCCUCGGGAAAGGCCUAUGGCCUAUCAGCUAGUUGGCGAGGUAAUGGCUCACCAAGGCUACGACGGGUAGCGGGAUUGAGAGAUCGACCCGCCUCACUGGGACUGAGACACUGCCCAGACUCCUACGGGAGGCUGCAGUCAAG